AGUGGCGGACGGGUGAGUAACGCGUGGGUAACCUGCCUCAUACAGGGGGAUAACAGUUAGAAAUGACUGCUAAUACCGCAUAAGACCACGGCACCGCAUGGUGCAGGGGUAAAAACUCCGGUGGUAUGAGAUGGACCCGCGUCUGAUUAGGUAGUUGGUGGGGUAACGGCCUACCAAGCCGACGAUCAGUAGCCGACCUGAGAGGGUGACCGGCCACAUUGGGACUGAGACACGGCCCAA
rnacentral:rRNA from 1 species